UAGGGAAUCUUCCGCAAUGGGCGAAAGCCUGACGGAGCAACGCCGCGUGAGUGAUGAAGGUCUUCGGAUCGUAAAACUCUGUUAUUAGGGAAGAACAAAUGUGUAAGUAACUAUGCACGUCUUGACGGUACCUAAUCAGAAAGCCACGGCUAACUACGUGCCAGCAGCCGCGGUAAUACGUAGGUGGCAAGCGUUAUCCGGAAUUAUUGGGGGUAAAGCGCGCGUAGGCGGUUUUUUAAGUCUGAUGUGAAAGCCCACGGCUCAACCGUGGAGGGUCAUUGGAAACUGGAAAACUUGAGUGCAGAAGAGGAAAGUGGAAUUCCAUGUGUAGCGGUGAAAUGCGCAGAGAUAUGGAGGAACACCAGUGGCGAAGGCGACUUUCUGGUCUGUAACUGACGCUGAUGUGCGAAAGCGUGGGGAUCAAACAGG
rnacentral:rRNA from 1 species